rnacentral:lncRNA from 1 species
GUAAAAUUCUCUCUUGUCUCCUCUGAUGUGACCUUCGUAGUUUAUUUAGUUCUCUCUAUGGAGUCAUUAUGGCAGGCGAGAAAGGUACCCCCGUAUCUGGGCACCCCACCCAUUCCCUGGUCACCCAGCCUGACCUUCACAGCCUGACACCCUCCUGUCCCUCCCUCUCCUGACCUGAGUCAGCGUGGGUUCCUCCUUGGGGAGUCUCUUGGGGGUCCAGAGAAAUCAUGGAGGUGGGGAUUCUGGUGCAGGACACUGCCUGAGACAAGAAGCCCA